rnacentral:rRNA from 1 species
GAUGAACGCUAGCGGGAGGCCUAACACAUGCAAGCCGAGCGGUAGAGUCUCUUCGGAGACUUGAGAGCGGCGCACGGGUGCGGAAGACGUGUGCAACCUGCCUUUAUCUGGGGGAUAGCCUUUCGAAAGGAAGAUUAAUACCCCAUAAUAUACUGGAUGGCAUCAUCUGGUAUUGAAAACUCCGGUGGAUAGAGAUGGGCACGCGCAGAUUAGAUAGUUGGUGAGGUAACGGCUCACCAAGUCAGCGAUCUUUAGGGGGCCUGAGAGGGUGAUCCCCCACACUGGUACUGAGACACGGACCAGACUCCUACGGGAGGCAGCAGUGAGGAAUAUUGGACAAUGGGUGAGAGCCUGAUCCAGCCAUCCCGCGUGAAGGACGACGGCCCUAUGGGUUGUAAACUUCUUUUGUAUAGGGAUAAACCUAGAUACGGGUAUCUAGCUGAAGGUACUAUACGAAUAAGCACCGGCUAACUCCGUG